UCUAACCAUGGUUUCAUUUCGAUUGGACAUUGCAGAGAAGGAAGAGUAGAUGACUUGUUUACCUGCAAGUGCUAUGACUUCUUCGGAAGGUGUGUUAUCCAUUCCUGACUUGUGCAGCGAUUCUACAACCAAUUCACUAUAGAUCAGAGUCUCUGGAGGAUGGUCGUGAGAAGAUGGUAGAGAGCAGAUGUUGGCUUCGGCAAGAAGGAGAUAGGAUAAGCAAAGAAAUCGAUUACAUUAUUUCAAAAAGCAACAUUUGUGAAGAAUAUUAACUUUCCUUUUCACACGAAGAUUGAUAUAUAUAUGGAAUUGUGUAAUGAUUUCGUAUAAAUGAUAUAAUCAUGUGUAUUAAGAAGAUUUUGGUAGGAGAGUUAAUGCUCCCGGACCAAGUUUGACAAAUUAAAAUUUGUUUAUAUAGUAAUGAUGCUGAUUAUAUGUAAUAUUUGUGUAAUAAAGUUUGCAAAGUGUGUCUUCGUUCAUAAAAAACAGUGUUUCAUAAACAAAAAAAAAAGAUUUUUUUUUACUUUUCCAUCUUUGAGUGUCAUUUUGUUCAUUUAAAAAAAAAAUGGUGCUAGUUAGAUCAUUUUCAUGUUUAGGGCUAUUCAAUAUGGCAAAACCGAGCCGUACCGAACCGAACCGAACCGAAAUAGAUAAUAUGGUUUGGAUUUGGUAUAUACCAUACAAACCGAAUGGAUAUGAUUUUUAAAAAACCGUAGGAUUUGGAUAUGGUUCGGUAUAUAACCGAUAAAACCGAAUAAACCGAAUAAAACCGAUCAAAAAAUAGAAACAUGUAAAUAUGUAUAUAUUUUAUAACAACGUAU